CGGGUGGUAAUGCCGGAUGCUCCAGUUGAUCGCAUGGUCUUCUGGGAAAGCUUUCGCGGUAUGGGAUGGGGUCGCGUCCUAUCAGCUUGACGGCGGGGUAACGGCCCACCGUGGCUUCGACGGGUAGCCGGCCUGAGAGGGCGACCGGCCACAUUGGGACUGAGAUACGGCCCAGACUCCUACGGGAGGCAGCAGUGGGGAAUAUUGCACAAUGGGCGCAAGCCUGAUGCAGCGACGCCGCGUGAGGGAUGGAGGCCUUCGGGUUGUAAACCUCUUUUAUCGGGGAGCAAGCGAGAGUGAGUUUACCCGUUGAAUAAGCACCGGCUAACUACGUGCCAGCAGCCGCGGUAAUACGUAGGGUGCAAGCGUUAUCCGGAAUUAUUGGGCGUAAAGGGCUCGUAGGCGGUUCGUCGCGUCCGGUGUGAAAGUCCAUCGCUUAACGGUGGAUCCGCGCCGGGUACGGGCGGGCUUGAGUGCGGUAGGGGAGACUGGAAUUCCCGGUGUAACGGUGGAAUGUGUAGAUAUCGGAAA
rnacentral:rRNA from 2 species